rnacentral:rRNA from 1 species
CAAUGGCUAUAACAAAGAGAAGCGAGACGGAGACGUUAAGCGAACCCAAAAAAGUAAGUCUCAGUUCGGAUUGGAGGCUGAAACCCGCCUCCAUGAAGUUGGAUUCGCUAGUAAUCGCGCAUCAGCCAUGGCGCGGUGAAUACGUUCCCGGGCCUUGUACACACCGCCCGUCAAGCCAUGGGAGCUGGGGGUGCCUGAAGUUCGUGACCGCAAGGAUCGACCUAGGGCAAAACCGGUGACUGGGGCUAAGUCGUAACAAGGUAUC